UACGGGGGGGGCAAGCGUUGUUCGGAAUUACUGGGCGUAAAGGGUUCGUAGGUGGCUUGCUAAGUCAGACGUGAAAUCCCUCGGCUUAACUGGGGAACUGCGUCUGAGACUGGUGAGCUUGAGUGCAGGAGAGGAACGCGGAAUUCCAGGUGUAGCGGUGAAAUGCGUAGAUAUCUGGAGGAACACCGGUGGCGAAGGCGGGUCUCUGGGCCGAUACUGACGCUGAGGAGCGAAAGCGUGGGGAGCGAACAGG
rnacentral:rRNA from 1 species